AUAAAAUUUUAAAAUGAAUUUAAAAUAAGGAUUGCGGAAUUUGUGAGGACGGAAUCGACGGAUUAGGGUGAGAGCUGGGUGGGAAUUUUGGCGGGAAAAGCAAACAUUUUCUUUUUCUCUCUAAUUUUUCUUUAAUCGCAUUCGCCCUUCUCUUGAUUUUAGUUAUCUCCAGAGAGCAGAGAAAAUCUAGGGUUUGAUUUUCGUGGAAAAUCAAAAUGGAGAGCUCUAGUAGAAGUAGAAGCCACGCGGGAAGCAUAGAAGAGAACACCAUGGCAAUUAUCGACGCAGCCGGAGCUAAAGACACUCAGGACACCAACGAUGACCGAAUGGCUUUUCUCGAAGCUGUUCGUGCUUCUUCGAUUGUUCCGGAAACUGGAACUGCUCCUACCAACAAAAUGUUUGAGGCGAUUUUCCAGAUUCUCAAGGUUGGGAAGUCUCUCGAAUUAAUAAUGGCUAGCUAUCAGCUUCUGAAUGAGUUGGAUAAGUGUUUCCCUCGGGCGUAUUUAUCCAAUGUAGAUAAAUCCAAUUCAUCCUGUACUGCCCUGCUUGAACCAGUUGUGGUGAAAGAGGCAUGGUCACCAUUUAGUCUUGGCUCAGAUGCUACUUGUGGUGAGAGGCAGACGGCUAAUAAAAACUCUGGUGGACCACUUGACUCCUCUGGUUUUCAUCUUCUGAUUCAAAACAUUGUCAAAGUGACUGAUGAAAUGAAUUCUCAAGCAUUAAAUAUAAAGUCUCUGGGCAACAUGUUCCUGUUUCAAUAUCUAGUCAAUGUUCUUGAAGGAGAUUUUUUACCUCGUAACAGCAUGUAUAAGGAAACUAUGAACUGGACCCUUCUAAGGGAGUCCCUGAUCAACAUGCUUCUGGGUUCAAGGAAAAUAAGCUACAAAGGUUUCAUCAAGGAUUGCUUGUCCUUAAUUUCUAGACUCUGUCAUGUUUAUGCUGGAUUCAGUCAUGAUCCUAGUUGUGAAGAAAAUUCUGCUGGAAAACAACAUGAAAAGUGUGAUACUGCUGUUGCAAUUGCUUUUCUUGAAGUGAAAAACUGUACUUGUAUUUCUGUACAGAAACUUCUGGUACUGAUUAUGGAGCUUGAUAUGUCAAAGAAGAAAGCGGAUAUGCAAGGUCAUACUACCAGAGCUGACGGUGUGAGAACUCCACUGGUCGAGAUAAUUAUAGAUGAACUUACUUACAAUGAAGAUAUUCUCUCCCCAUUUCUACAGGUCUUUAAUGAACCAAAAUGGAAGCUGGAAAUAGCUUUGCAGUAUUUUUGGAAAUACAUCAGUAAGCCUUCUGUUCGCACUCGGAGAUCAAAUGGUCCUACAGAAGAUGCAACAUUUGGUGGACUUUUGAAGUACUUUUCAAACAACACCAACACAAAAAACGUUAUCAGGAAAAUUGGUACAGAGGUAGCUCAGUUGCUUUUAGCGCAUGCUUUUCAGGCUUAUUUGUCACUAUCAUCUGAACAACAAUCUGUUAAAGGCAUCUCUAAUUCCAAGGAAGAUGCAAGUAUCAGCUCUUUGGAAAUAUGCAAAAAUAUGAUUUCUGCUUUUAAUAGUUUUAGAGGAAAAGAUGGGCAUGUGGAGAUUUUGCCAUUAGGAAAAGAAGCUCUAUUUACAGCGGCAACCAUCCUCUCAACAAAAUGAGUUCAGAAACGGUUACCAGUUCAGUUCAUUGACUUAAUCUGAACUAAGUAGAUGGUUAAGAUGCAACUAUCAACCUCAUGAUCACAUACUAAAGUGUUACAGAAUUGAGCCAAAGGUUUUAUCUUCAUUGUAUAAUUUCUUUUGCGCUGCGAUAAUUUUGUAAUGCGUAGUUAUAUGAAAGUAAUUGAUGAUUUUGGAGAGAUGUGGCAAUAUAUGGAACAAUGGGGGUCUUUAGAAA